AUUAUUAAAAUAUAAAAAAUUAUAUUUAUUACCUGUUAUGUAACCCAGCCCCUCAUUUGUGGCCAAAUCGCACCAAAGUGGUCUCAUUGGUUAGUGCUACGUUUGUGCUGGUUUGUGCAGCAAAAAUUAGUGUUUGUGCUGUUAUUGUUAUUGAUUUAUUAGGAAAAAAAUAUUGAAUAGGUGUGAAGCUGGCCCCUCAUAUAAUCAGAAAUGAAAUAAAAAUAUUUCCAUUGGUUAGUGCUACGUUUGUGCUGGUUUGUGCAGCAAAAAUUAGUGUUUGUGCUGGUAUCAUUAUUGAGAUAUUAAACAUUAUAUUUACUGUUAUUGACAUAUUAAGCAUUUAAUUUCUGACCUGUUAUGUAACACAGCCCC